UGUUUGGGGGGGUGGCCUAAUACAUGCAAGGUCGAGCGGACAGAUGGGAGCUUGCUCCCUGAUGUUAGCGUGUCGGACGGGUGAGUAACACGUGGGUAACCUGCCUGUAAGUACUGGGAUAACUCCGGGAAACCGGGGCUAAUACCGGAUGGUUGUCUGAACCGCAUGGUUCAGACAUAAAAGGCGGCUUCGGCUACCACUUACAGAUGGACCCGCGGCGCAUUAGCUAGUUGGUGAGGUAACGGCUCACCAAGGCGACGAUGCGUAGCCGACCUGAGAGGGUGAUCGGCCACACUGGGACUGAGACACGGCCCAGACUCCUACGGGAGGCAGCAGUAGGGAAUCUUCCGCAAUGGACGAAAGUCUGACGGAGCAACGCCGCGUGAGUGAUGAAGGUUUUCGGAUCGUAAAGCUCUGUUGUUAGGGAAGAACAAGUGCCGUUCAAAUAGGGCGGCACCUUGACGGUACCUAACCAGAAAGCCACGGCUAACUACGUGCCAGCAGCCGCGGUAAUACGUAGGUGGCAAGCGUUGUCCUUGUUAUUAUUGGGCGUAAAGGGCUCGCAGGCGGUUUCUUAAGUCUGAUGUGAAAGCCCCCGGCUCAACCGGGGAGGGUCAUUGGAAACUGGGGGAACUUGAGUGCAGAAGAGGAGAGUGGAAUUCCACGUGUAGCGGUGAAAUGCGUAGAGAUGUGGAGGAACACCAGUGGCGAAGGCGACUCUCUGGGUCUGUAACUGACGCUGAGGAGCGAAAGCGUGGGGAGCCGAACAAGGAUUAGAUACCCUGGGUAGUCCACGCCGGUAAACGAUGAGUGCUAAAGUGUUACGGGGGUUUUCCCGCCCCUUUAGUGCUGCAGCUAACGCAUUAAAGCACUCCCGGCCUUGGGGGAGUACGGUCGGCAGGACUGAAACUCAAACGAAUUGGAACGGCGUCCGCACAAGCGGUGAUAGCAUGUGAUUUUAAGUUCCGAGCACGCGAGAACUGAACCAGGUCUUUUGACAUUCGAUC
rnacentral:rRNA from 1 species